rnacentral:rRNA from 1 species
UACGUAGGGGGCUAGCGUUGUCCGGAAUCAUUGGGCGUAAAGAGCGUGUAGGCGGCCAGGUAGGUCGGUUGUGAAAACUGGAGGCUCAACCUUCAGAGGUCGACCGAAACCAUCUGGCUAGAGUCCGGGAGAGGAGAGUGGAAUUCCUGGUGUAGCGGUGAAAUGCGCAGAUAUCAGGAAGAACACCCGUGGCGAAAGCGGCUCUCUGGAACGGUACUGACGCUGAGACGCGAAAGCGUGGGAGCGAACAGG